GACGUAGGGCGCGAGCGUUGUCCGGAUUUAUUGGGCGUAAAGAGCUCGUAGGCGGCUUGUCGCGUCGACUGUGAAAACCCGCGGCUCAACCGUGUGGUCUGCAGUCGAUACGGGCAGGCUAGAGUUCGGUAGGGGAGACUGGAAUUCCUGGUGUAGCGGUGAAAUGCGCAGAUAUCAGGAGGAACACCGGUGGCGAAGGCGGGUCU
rnacentral:rRNA from 1 species